GAAAGGAAGGCAGGAGAAAGGAAAAAGGGACCUAUUUUUAACGAACAUCUACUGGAUGCCAGACCUUAACUGGAUGAUGAGAGGUACAGCUGAGUCUGGAGCAGACUGAGCCACCUAAGAGGGGAGGAACCGCUGCAGAGAAACCGUGUUAAGCCUUUUUGAAGUUCCAGGGGGAGAACAAGAGAGCGGAGGCUCCUGGUGGCUGGUGACAGGUGCUGAUUUGUUCUGGGGAAAGAGCACAGAAAAGUGCCUGGAGAGGAGGUGGGGCCAGAAUGGGAUGUAGGCGAUGGGAAGGACUCUCAAGACACAGUCCUGGGCUCCCAGGCAGGACCAACCCCCAAACCUGUCCCCCCAGGAGCCUGCAGAGCCACUGCCCUGACAGGGGACACCUCACCUCCUCUCCUUGCAGCUGCUCUUGUCUGGGAGAGCAGAGAACAGGGGACAGGAGAGAAGCCCCGAGAGUACUGAAGCUGAGGCUGGGGCGGUCUUCACUUGCCUCUUUCCUCGGCCCUUUUCCUGUUCUCUUGUCUUGUCUCUCUUUCUCUACUUUCCUUCUCCCUAGCCCAGUCUCUCACCUCUCUUUCAGCCUCUGGGCCUUUCCUUCUUCCUCUCUUGCCCUCAUUCUUCCUUCUCUGUCCCUCUUGUCUUCUCUUUUACCUCCUCUCUUCUCUCUUUCCUAUAGCUAUGCCCUCUUCCCUCCUUUCUCCUGUCCCCAACCAGGGCAUUAGAAAUGCAUUCCAGUUACACUGAUCUGAUCACUGCAUAUUGUAUGCAUGCAUCAAAAUAUCACAUGUACCCCAGAAAUA
rnacentral:lncRNA from 1 species